GACGAACGCUGGCGGCGUGCUUAACACAUGCAAGUCGAACGGAAAGGCCCUGCUUUUGUGGGGUGCUCGAGUGGCGAACGGGUGAGUAACACGUGAGUAACCUGCCCUUGACUUUGGGAUAACUUCAGGAAACUGGGGCUAAUACCGGAUAGGAGCUCCUGCUGCAUGGUGGGGGUUGGAAAGUUUCGGCGGUUGGGGAUGGACUCGCGGCUUAUCAGCUUGUUGGUGGGGUAGUGGCUUACCAAGGCUUUGACGGGUAGCCGGCCUGAGAGGGUGACCGGCCACAUUGGGACUGAGAUACGGCCCAGACUCCUACGGGAGGCAGCAGUGGGGAAUAUUGCACAAUGGGCGGAAGCCUGAUGCAGCAACGCCGCGUGCGGGAUGACGGCCUUCGGGUUGUAAACCGCUUUCGCCUGUGACGAAGCGUGAGUGACGGUAAUGGGUAAAGAAGCACCGGCUAACUACGUGCCAGCAGCCGCGGUGAUACGUAGGGUGCGAGCGUUGUCCGGAUUUAUUGGGCGUAAAGGGCUCGUAGGUGGUUGAUCGCGUCGGAAGUGUAAUCUUGGGGCUUAACCCUGAGCGUGCUUUCGAUACGGGUUGACUUGAGGAAGGUAGGGGAGAAUGGAAUUCCUGGUGGAGCGGUGGAAUGCGCAGAUAUCAGGAGGAACACCAGUGGCGAAGGCGGUUCUCUGGGCCUUUCCUGACGCUGAGGAGCGAAAGCGUGGGGAGCGAACAGGCUUAGAUACCCUGGUAGUCCACGCUGUAAACGGUGGGUACUAGGUGUGGGGUCCAUUUCACGGGUUCCGUGCCGUAGCUAACGCUUUAAGUACCCCGCCUGGGGAGUACGGCCGCAAGGCUAAAACUCAAAGGAAUUGACGGGGCCCCGCACAAGCGGCGGAGCAUGCGGAUUAAUUCGAUGCAACGCGUAGAACCUUACCUGGGUUUGACAUGGAUCGGGAGUGCUCAGAGAUGGGUGUGCCUCUUUUGGGGUCGGUUCACAGGUGGUGCAUGGCUGUCGUCAGCUCGUGUCGUGAGAUGUUGGGUUAAGUCCCGCAACGAGCGCAACCCUUGUUCACUGUUGCCAGCACGUUAUGGUGGGGACUCAGUGGAGACCGCCGGGGUCAACUCGGAGGAAGGUGGGGAUGACGUCAAGUCAUCAUGCCCCUUAUGUCCAGGGCUUCACGCAUGCUACAAUGGCUGGUACAGAGAGUGGCGAGCCUGUGAGGGUGAGCGAAUCUCGGAAAGCCGGUCUCAGUUCGGAUUGGGGUCUGCAACUCGACCUCAUGAAGUCGGAGUCGCUAGUAAUCGCAGAUCAGCAACGCUGCGGUGAAUACGUUCCCGGGGCU
rnacentral:rRNA from 1 species